rnacentral:rRNA from 1 species
CCUACGGGCGGCAGCAGUGAGGAAUAUUGGUCAAUGGACGCAAGUCUGAACCAGCCAUGCCGCGUGCAGGAAGACGGCUCUAUGAGUUGUAAACUGCUUUUAUACGAGGGUAAACGGAGAUACGCGUAUCUGUCUGAAAGUAUCUUACGAAUAAGGAUCGCCUAACUCCGUGCCAGCAACCGCGGUAAUACGGAGGAUUCAAGCGUUAUCCGGAUUGAUUGGGUUUAAAGGGUGCGUAGGCGGUCGGAUAAGUUAGAGGUGAAAUCCUGAGGCUCAACUUCGGAAUUGCCUGUGAUACUGUUCGGCUAGAGAGUAGUUGCGGUAGGCGGAAUGUAUGGUGUAGCGGUGAAAGGCUUAGAGAUCAUACAGAACACCGAUUGCGAAGGCAGCUUACCAAGCUACUUCUGACGUUGAGGCACGAAAGCGUGGGGAGCAAACAGGAUUAGAUACCCUGGUAGUC